rnacentral:rRNA from 1 species
AUGAACGCUGGCGGCGUGCCUAAUCCAUGCAAGUCGAGCGAACAGACGAGGAGCUUGCUCCUCUGACGUUAGCGGCGGACGGGUGAGUAACACGUGGAUAACCUACCUAUAAGACUGGGAUAACUUCGGGAAACCGGAGCUAAUACCGGAUAAUAUAUUGAACCGCAUGGUUCAAUAGUGAAAGACGGUUUUGCUGUCACUUAUAGAUGGAUCCGCGCCGCAUUAGCUAGUUGGUAAGGUAACGGCUUACCAAGGCAACGAUGCGUAGCCGACCUGAGAGGGUGAUCGGCCACACUGGAACUGAGACACGGUCCAGACUCCUACGGGAGGCAGCAGUAGGGCAUCUUCCGCAAUGGGCGAAAGCCUGACGGAGCAACGCCGCGUGAGUGAUGAAGGUCUUCGGAUCGUAAAACUCUGUUAUUAGGGAAGAACAAAUGUGUAAGUAACUAUGCACGUCUUGACGGUACCUAAUCAGAAAGCCACGGCUAACUACGUG